GGGUUGUGAGGUUAAGCGACUAAGCGUACACGGUGGAUGCCCUGGCAGUCAGAGGCGAUGAAGGACGUGCUAAUCUGCGAUAAGCGCCGGUAAGGUGAUAUGAACCGUUAUAACCGGCGAUUUCCGAAUGGGGAAACCCAGUGUGAUUCGUCACACUAUCAUUAACUGAAUCCAUAGGUUAAUGAGGCGAACCGGGGGAACUGAAACAUCUAAGUACCCCGAGGAAAAGAAAUCAACCGAGAUUCCCCCAGUAGCGGCGAGCGAACGGGGAGGAGCCCAGAGCCUGAAUCAGCAUGUGUGUUAGUGGAAGCGUCUGGAAAGGUGCGCGAUACAGGGUGACAGCCCCGUACACAAAAGCGCAUGUGCUGUGAGCUCGAUGAGUAGGGCGGGACACGUGGUAUCCUGUCUGAAUAUGGGGGGACCAUCCUCCAAGGCUAAAUACUCCUGACUGACCGAUAGUGAACCAGUACCGUGAGGGAAAGGCGAAAAGAACCCCGGCGAGGGGAGUGAAAAAGAACCUGAAACCGUGUACGUACAAGCAGUGGGAGCACAGGUUUACCUGUGUGACUGCGUACCUUUUGUAUAAUGGGUCAGCGACUUAUAUUCUGUAGCAAGGUUAACCGUAUAGGGGAGCCGUAGGGAAACCGAGUCUUAACCGGGCGUUAAGUUGCAGGGUAUAGACCCGAAACCCGGUGAUCUAGCCAUGGGCAGGUUGAAGGUUGGGUAACACUAACUGGAGGACCGAACCGACUAAUGUUGAAAAAUUAGCGGAUGACCUGUGGCUGGGGGUGAAAGGCCAAUCAAACCGGGAGAUAGCUGGUUCUCCCCGAAAGCUAUUUAGGUAGCGCCUCGUGAAUUCAUCUCCGGGGGUAGAGCACUGUUUCGGCUAGGGGGCCAUCCCGGCUUACCAACCCGAUGCAAACUGCGAAUACCGGAGAAUGUUAUCACGGGAGACACACGGCGGGUGCUAACGUCCGUCGUGAAGAGGGAAACAACCCAGACCGCCAGCUAAGGUCCCAAAGUCAUGGUUAAGUGGGAAACGAUGUGGGAAGGCCCAGACAGCCAGGAUGUUGGCUUAGAAGCAGCCAUCAUUUAAAGAAAGCGUAAUAGCUCACUGGUCGAGUCGGCCUGCGCGGAAGAUGUAACGGGGCUAAACCAUGCACCGAAGCUGCGGCAGCGAACGUAUCACCCAAGACAACUUUACGGAGUUGACGAUUGACGGAGCGAAGCGACGUCAAAGCGUUCAUUAAAGUCGAGUUGGCUUAGGGAUACGUUCGUUGGGUAGGGGAGCGUUCUGUAAGCCUGUGAAGGUGUGUCGUGAGGCAUGCUGGAGGUAUCAGAAGUGCGAAUGCUGACAUAAGUAACGAUAAAGCGGGUGAAAAGCCCGCUCGCCGGAAGACCAAGGGUUCCUGUCCAACGUUAAUCGGGGCAGGGUGAGUCGACCCCUAAGGCGAGGCCGAAAGGCGUAGUCGAUGGGAAACGGGUUAAUAUUCCCGUACUUGGUGUUACUGCGAAGGGGGGACGGAGAAGGCUAUGUUGGCCGGGCGACGGUUGUCCCGGUUUAAGCGUGUAGGUGUGUGUUCCAGGUAAAUCCGGUUCACUUUAACACUGAGGCGUGACGACGAGGCACUACGGUGCUGAAGCAACAAAUGCCCUGCUUCCAGGAAAAGCCUCUAAGCAUCAGGUAACACGAAAUCGUACCCCAAACCGACACAGGUGGUCAGGUAGAGAAUACCAAGGCGCUUGAGAGAACUCGGGUGAAGGAACUAGGCAAAAUGGUGCCGUAACUUCGGGAGAAGGCACGCUGACACGUAGGUGAAGUGAUUUACUCAUGGAGCUGAAGUCAGUCGAAGAUACCAGCUGGCUGCAACUGUUUAUUAAAAACACAGCACUGUGCAAACACGAAAGUGGACGUAUACGGUGUGACGCCUGCCCGGUGCCGGAAGGUUAAUUGAUGGGGUCAGCGUAAGCGAAGCUCCUGAUCGAAGCCCCGGUAAACGGCGGCCGUAACUAUAACGGUCCUAAGGUAGCGAAAUUCCUUGUCGGGUAAGUUCCGACCUGCACGAAUGGCGUAAUGAUGGCCAGGCUGUCUCCACCCGAGACUCAGUGAAAUUGAACUCGCUGUGAAGAUGCAGUGUACCCGCGGCAAGACGGAAAGACCCCGUGAACCUUUACUAUAGCUUGACACUGAACAUUGAGCCUUGAUGUGUAGGAUAGGUGGGAGGCUUUGAAGUGUGGACGCCAGUCUGCAUGGAGCCGACCUUGAAAUACCACCCUUUAAUGUUUGAUGUUCUAACGUGGACCCGUAAUCCGGGUUGCGGACAGUGUCUGGUGGGUAGUUUGACUGGGGCGGUCUCCUCCUAAAGAGUAACGGAGGAGCACGAAGGUUGGCUAAUCCUGGUCGGACAUCAGGAGGUUAGUGCAAUGGCAUAAGCCAGCUUGACUGCGAGCGUGACGGCGCGAGCAGGUGCGAAAGCAGGUCAUAGUGAUCCGGUGGUUCUGAAUGGAAGGGCCAUCGCUCAACGGAUAAAAGGUACUCCGGGGAUAACAGGCUGAUACCGCCCAAGAGUUCAUAUCGACGGCGGUGUUUGGCACCUCGAUGUCGGCUCAUCACAUCCUGGGGCUGAAGUAGGUCCCAAGGGUAUGGCUGUUCGCCAUUUAAAGUGGUACGCGAGCUGGGUUUAGAACGUCGUGAGACAGUUCGGUCCCUAUCUGCCGUGGGCGCUGGAGAACUGAGGGGGGCUGCUCCUAGUACGAGAGGACCGGAGUGGACGCAUCACUGGUGUUCGGGUUGUCAUGCCAAUGGCACUGCCCGGUAGCUAAAUGCGGAAGAGAUAAGUGCUGAAAGCAUCUAAGCACGAAACUUGCCCCGAGAUGAGUUCUCCCUGAGACUUAGAGUCUCCUGAAGGAACGUUGAAGACGACGACGUUGAUAGGCCGGGUGUGUAAGCGCAGCGAUGCGUUGAGCUAACCGGUACUAAUGAACCGUGAGGCUUAACCUUACAACGCCGAAG
rnacentral:rRNA from 1 species